GUGCUCGCUUUGGCAGCACAUAUACUAAAAUUGCAACAUAUACUAAAAUUAGAGAAGUUCAG
rnacentral:snRNA from 1 species